rnacentral:misc_RNA from 1 species
CAGAGUCGUAAAACACUCCCAAACCCAUGUGAACUUACCUUUGUUGCCUCGGCAGGACCUACCCGGGACCUUCCCGGAAGGCCUGCCGGUGGACCAUUUAACUCUUGUUAUUUUAUAGAAAUCUGAGAGUCUUAUUUAAUAAGUCA